rnacentral:rRNA from 1 species
CAGUCGCCGCGGUAAUACGUAGGUGGCAAGCGUUGUCCGGAAUUAUUGGGCGUAAAGGGCUCGCAGGCGGUUUCUUAAGUCUGAUGUGAAAGCCCCCGGCUCAACCUGGGAGGGUCAUUGGAAACUGGGAAACUUGAGUGCAGAAGAGGAGAGUGGAAUUCCACGUGUAGCGGUGAAAUGCAUAGAGAUGUGGAGGAACACCAGUGGCGAAGGCGACUCUCUGGUCUGUAACUGACGCUGAGGAGCGAAAGCGUGGGGAGCGAACAGGAUUAGAUACCCCGGUAGUCCCUGUCUCUUAUAC